rnacentral:rRNA from 1 species
CGGCCCCGCCCACCGCCCACCCAGACCCAGCGCUCCCCUUGCCACCAAACCCGCGUGGCCCUCCGACGUCGGUCCGUCUCCGACCACGACUGGAAAAGGUCGGACCGCCACCGCGCGCACCGAUUCCUUCCCGGAAACCCAUCGCCGCCACCAGCUCCACGCCCCCUAUAUAAAUACCACACGAGCCCCCCAUGGUUUCCCCGCAUCGGAGGAUUUGAUUGACCUCUCCUCUCCUCUCCUCUCUUCCACCUCUCGUCGUCUGGGUAAGUCACAGGUACGGUAUUCGUAAUCAGUUACUUUUCGCUGUUCUUCGUCUGAUUGUAUUCCAGGCGAGCGUUUUGUCUCGGUCGUCGUGGUGCUCCUUCCGUCGAUGUCGAGUUCUUUAGUCCUGGUGGUUUCACCUCGUCUGUUCCGUUGAUAUUGGUACCGUGUUCUGAACCUUUGCUGCUUUGAUUUAGGGUCGCGGCUAAUCUAUUCUGCUUUGACUUCUGAUCUGAUUUAGGGAUCCAUCAUGCUCUGAUUGCGAUGUGAUUUAGGGCCGUGCCUUAUCAUUUACUAUUAUCAUGGUCAUGCUUGCUGAUUUGAUUUAAGGUUGUGAUGGGUAAUGGAGAUUAUAUUUGGCGGGAAUAACGAGUUCCGUUGGUAACUUGGUAUAGAUACGUGGAGCAGUUCGUUUGGUUUCAUUUCUGUUCGUUAUGGCGGGAGAUGUUUGACAUGAUCCGAAUGAGAGAUUGAAGGUUGUGGUUUCAGUUUUGAUUGUUCUGUUCAAUUCACGGUGAUUCAGUAAUGUUCUGCGCACAAAGUGCUUCAUAUUUUUGAGGCGAAAAACAGAGGGUUGGAGACAGUUCAAACAGUCAAAAAUCUGCAGUUCUUUUGCUUUUGAUCCCGUUCCCUCAUACUUAGUCAGACUCAAUAAGAAUUCUGGAUAUAUUUGCUUUCUCCUAGCAGCCUAUACAUGUCAGAUUAUAUAUGAAAAGGAUUGUGCUAUAUUACCAUGUUACGAAGGUAGAGCUGGGAUAUGUCUUUCUUGAACUGUGUGGACAUGCUCAUGGCGGAGGUGAUUCUUCAGUGGCUAUAUUUUGGUGUCAACUUUUGGUUGGUUUCAUUUCAAGAUUGCUAGGAAAAUCGGAGGUGCUUGUUGUGUUUGCAUUCUAGACGUAAUUUUCUUGGGAAGUACCUCAAACCAACAUGGAAGUUUUGCUUUUGAAGUGAUCUGUUUGAAGGUUCUUUCAAGUAGAGUGAAGAAACUCUUGGAUUGUGUCUGCAAAAUUAGUUUACUGCUGCUGUGUUUAUCUCGAGUGGUAUGUCAAGGUCUAUUCAGAUGCUGGUUACUGUGUGGGAUUCUACCAAUCCUUCUGAUCACUAGUUUGUGCGUUUGAUUUCUACAUGGAUAUUCGUUUGGGCUUCAGCCGGUUUCAUGCUCCAUCCGGUGUUGGAUUAGUCUUAGCCUGAUAAUUUAUUGUAAUCUGUAGCCAUGUUUUUAUGAUUAGUAUGUUCUAAUGCAAUUUAUGUUGUACACAAUUGUCAAUUAUGCAUCUGUUCUGUAGUUGCGUACUGUAACCGAUGUAAUUGUUGAAUGAUAUAUGGAUGCCAUAAUUUAGCCCUUCGUCUUUUUUGGUUUGGUGUAUAAAAGCUGUAACCAAAUAGCAACUGAAUUUCAUAGCUUGAUGUUCUUUUUUCCUGCAUAAGUUACAUUUCUAUUCAUUGUUCAUCCAUGCAAAUUCAGCUGAGAUUGUUGUGAACAUCCUGUUUUUGUAAUUCUCAUCAUCUCAAGUUAAUAAUGAUGACUUUUGACCUAACAUUUUGAACUUCGUUCCGUUAUCCUUCGUUAUGUUGUCUGUUCAUCCGUUUGAUCAGUUUAACUGUGAAAUAUGGUGCUUGUUGUGCUGUCCUUACGCACAAGAUUCAUUUUAAUUAUCACAUGGGGUGCUUGUAUUUAAUUUUGAUUUCACAUAUAUAUCAUUCAUGAGUAUCAUAUUAUGUUGCUAUUUUACGUAGUUUGGUAUUAAGCUUCAAGUUAAUCUCAUGUUAGUGUGAGGGUAGUACUGUGAGAUAAGUAUGUUAGUCCAUAUAGAGUUCUAUGUUUGCAUUAUUUGCAGUCUGCUUUUACUCUUGAGUUCCCAACCUAGUUAGUGUCAAUUAAGAUCUUAUUCUGUUCAUGGAACACCUUAUAUGAUCUGUAACAGUUUUUCAUUUUAAAUAGUUUCAGUUUUGAGCAAGUAUUCAAAGGCAAUAUUAUGUGAUAAGUGGCGUUUGGUCUAACCGGAGCUCUAUGCGUAUGUUGUUUACAAUUUAUUUUCACUCUUAUAGUUUCCAUCUUGUCAGCGAAUUAAGAUUCUAGUUCUGUUUUUAGAACUUGAUUAACAUGCAACAAUUUUAGGUUCUGAUUUAACUUCCCC